UAUCAGUUUAGGUACGUUCACUUUAAUAUGUUUCAUCAUGCAAGAAAAGUGUUAAAAUAGAGAGGGAUUUGGCUUAAGCAGCUUAUUGAUCAGAUUUUUUUUUUUGUCAUCCGAAUGCCUCAGGUCUUCCGGAGGAUUCUGUCCUUCAUCUGCUUUACCGCAUCUUAAAACGUCAAACUUUAACAUCCAUACAGACACCAUAUGUUAAUGUGCAUUGAUCUUGUUCUUUAGUAAUCCAUCGUAUCCGAUGAUGACAUUCCUCAUGAUAGAUUCACUCGCACACUCUGUCAGCCACGACCAACCUGUUUCUUUUGCUUAAUCCACAUGUUUUAUGCGUCAUUACAUCAGUCCAUUUAGUCUCUCUCUUUCACACAUACACACACAAUCCUAACUUUUUCUCAUUAACCAUCUUUGCCCCAUCUAUUUCCCCAGUGAUGGCUCCAGCACUACCUUCGAUAAGCCAUCUCCAUGGAAACAGCCCAGCAACAGGCUUUCCCCUCAUGGCCAAUGAGAGCGUGAUGAGUCCUGGAUUCUCCUCCAAUGGAGGUGGGCCUGGCAAACUCAAGUGUGCACCUGUAUCAUUUUGAGGUGGCGCAAAGUGACCCAAUCGUUCGAGCCGCUUCAUCAUCAUCAUCCCUGCAUUGAGCAUGUGAAACAGAGGGCUUUUCAAAGACUGCAUUGCCAGCCAUCUCCAGUCACAUGACCUGCCUUCCCAGUGGUCUCCUAGCAACCUCCUCCCCUCCCCCUCCAUCCAUCCCUUGCUGUAUUCUGUUACUCCUGGACUCGUAUACGCGUGGGAGUGGACGUGAUCGAGUGAGCCAGUGAGGUAUGUGGUUAUUUAUAGAUCUGAUGGAUA